AUUUAUAAUUGUUGAAUUUUUAUUUUAUAUUUUUAUGUUAGAAUUAUCUUUAAUGUUUUAGUAUAUUUAUGAAAAAAUUUUUUCAUUUAACUGAAGAGGUUAUAAUUUAUAAAUUUUAUUAAGUAUAUAUUUUUAGUACCUUUUGUAUCAGGGUUAUUUAAUUUUUUUUUAGUUAUUUAUAUUUCCCGAAAUAAAAAGAAUUAUAGUUUUUUGUUAAUUGUUGUUUCAUAAAUAUUAAUAAAAAAAUUUUGGAAAUGAAAUUUUAUCGAUUUUUAUUAUAUCUGGUUUUUCAAGAUACAAAUUUAAUUUGAAACUAUUUGGUAUUAAUAUAAUUUUAUUUAUAAUAUUUAUUAGUUUAAUUUGAAUGGGGAUAAGCUGAUUCAGAUUUUUAUAAUAAUUAAUAAGUGUAGUUUUAGUAGGCUUAAAAUCAGCUAUCUUAAAUAAUUAAGUUAAAUUUUAAUUAUGUUUUAUAUAUAUUUUUUUUUAUUUAGAUACUUAUUGAAAAUGGAUUUUUUAAUUUUUCUAAUUUUGUUAUAAUGAUUAAAUUAGUAAAUAUUGUAAUUUUUUGAAUUAUGAAUUUGGCAAAAUUAAUUUUCACCUGUUUAUCAAAAACAUGUCUUUUAGAUUUGUAUUAAAAGUUUAAUCUGCCCAAUGAUUAUUGAAUGGCCGCGGUAAUAUGACCGUGCAAAGGUAGCAUAAUAAUUAGUCUUUUAAUUGGAGGCUUGUAUGAAUGAUUGGAUGAAAAAUUAACUUUAUUAAUUAUAAUUAUUGAAAUUAAUUUUUGAGUUAAAAAGCUUAAAUUAGAAUGUGGGACGAGAAGACCCUAUAGAGUUUUACAUUUAUUUUAUUUUGUUAUUAAUGGAUUUUUUUGUUAAUAAAUUAUUUUAAAUGUUUUAUUGGGGUGAUAUUAAAAUUUAUAUAACUUUUAAUUGUUAAUUCAUUUUUUAUGUUAAUUAGAUCCUAUUUUAAGAUUAAAAGAUUUAUAUUACCUUAGGGAUAACAGCGUAAUUGUUUUGGAGAGUUCUAAUCGAUAAAAUAGUUUGCGACCUCGAUGUUGGAUUAAGGAAAAUUUAAGGAGCAAAAUUUUUUUAAUUAGGUCUGUUCGACCUUUAAAUUCUUACAUGAUCUGAGUUCAGACCGGUGUAAACCAGGUUGGUUUCUAUCUACAUUUAUGUUUAAAGUAUUAGUACGAAAGGACCAUAUUUUAUAAUUUGAUUAU
rnacentral:rRNA from 1 species